rnacentral:hammerhead_ribozyme from 1 species
AUGCGAAACAGUCAACUUGCGCAAUUUCGCAAGUUGGCUGUCGUCCCGGCGUGGCUGCCGGGGCCUGAUGAUGCAGCCAACG